UAUGUUGACCUUUAAUUUUAAAGCAUUUCUUCUACGCAGUUGUGACACAAUUGGAAGAAUAUGGUUUGAAUUGGGGAGUAUUUUCUUUUAAAACUGAAUUCAUCUAUAAGCCAAAGAUAGUUUUCUUCUUUCUGCACUGGAGAUACCAGAAUUUUCAGACGAAUAUGGGUAUUUGUACCUUGGCAUAUAUUAUACUAGCUUUUGGUUUAGCUACUCAAGUAAUUGCUCAAAGAACGAGGCAGACUGGAGGAAUGGGAGGAGCUACGCAAGGGGGCGCUGGAGGCGGUGCUGAAGGUGACUAUCAAGCCCAAAUGGCAAAUUAUUGGUAUGAGCUGGGAAAUUUCUGGAGUGACCUCGGCGAGUGGUGGAGCGAUAUGUCAGAAAGAAUGCGAAUGACAAUGAUGGGAUAACGUCGACUUUAAAGGAUUUCUCUAACGGACAAUGAAUUCAAGUUUGAGAAUUGCCUACUUUCUGGAAUUUUUGCAUCGUGUUCCUGCCCUGCUGGUGCUCAGUUACCCGAGUUAUGUACAUUAUUUAAUGGAUGGUAUGUGUGACAUUUUUCUCAAAAUGUUGCAUUCAAUUUUAUCUUCUUUAUGAAAUGUACAAAUGAUGAAUAAAAAUAUUGGUUGACUGAA